rnacentral:lncRNA from 1 species
AUGGGCUUUAGAACUAGGGCUGGGGUCAGAGUCGGAGCUCGGCGGGUCGGGUGGGAGUGGGGUCAGAGCUGCGUCCCGGCUGAGGUUCUCAGCAGGGUAGGUCUUGGGUUAGGAUUAGGGUUCCAAGCAGGAUGGAGACUAGGGACGGGGCUGGGAUUAGGGUCGUCCCGGGCCCAGGUGGGUACGGGCGCCUUUUAUAAAGCCUGGGUGAGAGUGCCAGGCCCCACCUUGUCUCGGUUCCAGCCGACCUCGGGCAACCCCAGGAAUCCUGAGGGCCUCAGCGGCUCUCCUGCUCACUCAAGUCCAACUUGGGGCCCUGGGUCAAAGCCGGAGGACACACCCCCUGGGGCUGCAGGCAGGCCCUCUGGACAGCCUGUCGUGGGCCUUCCUUGCCCAAGUCCAUCUCUAGGGCUCCCACCCUGUCCUGGGGGCCGCCUUCCCCCAGGCGAGGCUGUUGGAAAGAUUCCUGCCCCAGACCCGGGAAGAGACCUGAGGUCUCCUUCCCAGCCCUCCUGGGCCCCAUGUCUGCCUCCAAGGCCUGAGAGUGGGCACAGGUGCCCCUUUCCUGCUGCCCCACAGUACAGCCCUGGGCCGGGGCCGGGGAACUGGCUCACUCACCUGGAACAUCUGGAAACGCAAAAGGAUCCAGCCCCUGGGCCCCAUGGAGGUGGCCUGUCCACAGGCCACUUAAGCGCCAUCUGGCUAUCCCCAGCCUCCGAGGCUAGCACAGUGGACACCCAGGUCCUGCCUCUGCUGGCUACAAACCUGACCUGGCCAGAGCCCGGGCCAGGGGCUCAGAGGCCUGGGGACGCCCUGGAGAGGCUGGGUAGGGCCUGGGCUGGCCACCCCACCCCCGCCGAGACAUGUCUGUGCCCUGAGCCCCUCUGGGUCAUGCGGUCAGAUGCUGCCAUUCUUCCUCUCUCCUGCCAGCCAGCUGGACACCAGGCGGCCGCCAGUGCGGGAGGCCCUGCCACACCCUGGAUGGGUGAGCCUCGCCCAGCAUCUGCCAGCGGUGCACAUGUUGGUGCUGGGGGUGGGAACAUGGUCGCGGUGCCCACGGGUGGAGGAACCAGGCCCCCUUCCUCACUGAGCGCCAGCUGCUGUGCUGGAGGGUGGGGUGAGCCUGCAGGAAAGGGGUGCCCUGGUGCAGGGUGGAGCUGGCUGGCAGAGGGGGCCUCCCUCCUGCUCUGGCCUCGGGACAAACUCAAGUCACCUCAAACUCUCGCCUCCUGA